GAUGAACGCUGGCGGCGUGCCUAAUACAUGCAAGUCGAGCGAACGGACGAGGAGCUUGCUUCUCUGAUGUUAGCGGCGGACGGGUGAGUAACACGUGGAUAACCUACCUAUAAGACUGGGAUAACUUCGGGAAACCGGAGCUAAUACCGGAUGAUAUUUUGAACCGCAUGGUUCAAAAGUGAAAGACGGUCUUGCUGUCACUUAUAGAUGGAUCCGCGCUGCAUUAGCUAGUUGGUAAGGUAACGGCUUACCAAGGCAACGAUGCAUAGCCGACCUGAGAGGGUGAUCGGCCACACUGGAACUGAGACACGGUCCAGACUCCUACGGGAGGCAGCAGUAGGGAAUCUUCCGCAAUGGGCGAAAGCCUGACGGAGCAACGCCGCGUGAGUGAUGAAGGUCCUCGGAUCGUAAAACUCUGUUAUUAGGGAAGAACAUAUGUGUAAGUAACUGUGCACAUCUUGACGGUACCUAAUCAGAAAGCCACGGCUAACUACGUG
rnacentral:rRNA from 1 species